rnacentral:lncRNA from 1 species
GAGAUUCAAUAUUAGUCUAAAAAAAUACAAUACAAUCAUAGAAUACACAAUCACAAUUUCAAAUAUAGGUUAGCAAUCACAGAUUUUGAAGCCAAAGCCAAACAAGCCCUUUUACAUCCAACAACUUUCCCUUCCUUUUGCACAAGUCCAAAUGGACAAGAAACACUCAAAUCAUCUUCAUAACUAGCAACACCACAACCUACACCACCACUUACUAAACUAGUCACACAUAUACAAUGAUAUUUAUACUUGCAAAACAAGUAAACAGUUACUUGUUACACAAGUCAACUAGUUCCAACUAAACUUAGUUUACUAUCCACAAGCUGGAAACUGUCUUGUUCUCUGAGACCCUGAACUCUAUCAAUGGUGCACUCCUAAUCAGUUGCAUUUUCUUCAUCAUAAGUAGGAUUACUUAACAAAGUGUUCAUCAAUGCUUUAAUAGAGGUGUUUUUCAUUUGCCAAUCCCAUGAUUCAAAUUCAUUCAUGAUGUCAUCUUUGCGAACGAAAAUAUUUUCUAUGCUAUAUGAUAGGACACGACACAUUGUGAUAUCAACAUAUAAAAACAUAAAAAGCCUGCAACCAUUAAAUAGAUGAAAUAGACCAAAACAUUAGACAGACACGACACGACACAUACAUACUCUUUUUACUCGUAAACAAAAUGUUGAGCCACUUUUAAACUUGAUUUUGUUUGGAAUUUGAUCAAGAGAUUUACUGGCAUAAACACUGCAAUAUUGCAUAAUUAUUUUGAACAAUAUUUAUUAUAGAAACUUGUUUAAAAAAUAAAUUUAGCAAUACGAAUUUUAUUUAUAUUUCUAACAAUAGAUCAUCCCAAGUUUAACUGCUUUUUUAAUAGAAAUUGCCAAUUCAUCGUAAGCAAUUUCCCAAGCAGUAUUUAGUUCUUCGCUCCAGUUGUCCCCCGAUGCUUCCUUUAUUGUUUUUAACAAAGCUUCUUUAACCACCUACAAGACACCAAAAAAAUUAAUUUUGGUUUAGCGAUUUAAAACUUACAAAUGGGUGUAUUAACAUAAUUGAAAAAUACUUAUUGAAAACUAAUUUAUUUUCAGAUAAAAGUUAUUAAAUCAAAUAUUAUUUUACCAUACAUCCUUAAUAAUUAAGGGGACCAAUUCAAUUUUAUUUUUGAGGAGACAUUCAAAUAUAUACUUAAAUAUAUUUUAUUAUAUUAUCAUACCACAAAAUGAGGAUCAACAACUCCUCUUUGAAUGUGGAUAGCACCCACUUUAGUAUAUCCCAAAACUACUUCUCCAGUUGCUCGAAGUUGAACAGCCGCAUCACGCACCUAUAAUACAGAAAAUAUAAACAUCUUAAGACCGAUAGCCAUAGACUAUUCGUAAAAUAUACUAAUAGUGUUUGAUAUUAUUCUUUGGUGUUAAAGUAUAUUUGCAAUUCCAAAUAUUGUGAUUGUGCGAUUUUGGACACCGUUGAUUUAGAGCUACGUGUGACACUUAUGUUUUCCGUCUUUGUAAUUUAGUAUCAUAAACCAUUUUUUCUUCCUAAAUUUAAAUUAAUGUGACAUUGUUAAUUGAAAUGACACCAAAGUUUCAUAGCCAACGCAAAUUUUCUUUGAAAAAAAAAUAAAAAUCGUGAAUUUAAAAAGGAGUGAAAUUUUAAAGGAAAAUGUUAACUUUUGUCUUUAAAGUACAAGUUAAAAAGCUAAACAUAGAAGAAAUUUCUUGGAAUUUGUAAAUUUUAUCAUAUAGUUAUUUGGAUUUUUUUGUUUUGUUUGAAAUUUGGUAUCUAGUUCAAAAACUUAAUAAUAUGAAAUAUCAAUCUCAGCGUUUAGUAGUAGAGACCCAAUUGAAAGCAAAACCAUGUAUAAACUACCCCAACAUUUUUGGAUCAUAUUUAUCAAGGGAAAAUAAAUUAAAUUAAGAAUAUACAAAAUACAUGUAUUUGAAAAGAUUUUAUAGUUAUUAAUUUAAAGAGAACCAUAGACGCUGAAUGAAGAAUAAAAAAAAUUAGUUGAUGUUGGUUGCACUCACCAUUUGAAACACCUUUUCAGCAUGGGCUUGAAGUUGAGGACUAUCUUUUACCUCAGGCGUGUUCUUAAGAAAAGAGAACAUGCCCUUUGCUGCAGGUGCUUUCUCUAAUAUACUAAUUUAAUCAAAAUAACCAAACAUAUUCUUGUUAAUUAAUUUACACAAUCUUUUUAAACCGUAAGUAAGCAAAAAAGGAAAGUACAAACUAACUCAUGCAAUAUGAUACUUACAUAGUGUAGAACAAGACACUAUAGCCGGGAAGAUUUUGUUUAAAUGAUUCCCAUGAGCUAUUCACUAAAAACUCUUGCUUCUCAGUGAAUCCCAUUUUUCUCUUCUUCUUUUCUAAUUUUGUUGUUGUU